CUACGGGGUGCAGCAGUGGGGAAUAUUGGACAAUGGGGGAAACCCUGAUCCAGCAAUGCCGCGUGUGUGAAGAAGGCCUGCGGGUUGUAAAGCACUUUCGGUUGGGAGGACUGCUUCUAGCACUAAUAUUGUUGGAAGUUGACGUUACCUUCAGAAGAAGCACCGGCUAACUCCGUGCCAGCAGCCGCGGUAAUACGGAGGGUGCAAGGCGUUAAUCGGAAUUACUGGGCGUAAAGCGCGCGUAGGCGGCUAGAUCAGUCGGGUGUGAAAGCCCCGGGCUUAACCUGGGAACUGCAUCCGAUACUGUCUAGCUUGAGUACAGGAGAGGAGAGUGGAAUUCCAGAUGUAGCGGUGAAAUGCGUAGAUAUGUGGAGGAACACCAAUGGCGAAGGCAGCUCUCUGGCCUGAUACUGACGCUGAGGUGCGAAAGCGUGGGGAGCAAACAGGAUUAGAUACCCCUGUAGUC
rnacentral:rRNA from 1 species